GUGAACGCUGGCGGCGUGCCUAAUACAUGCAAGUCGAACGAACCUUCGGGUUAGUGGCGAACGGCUGAGUAACACGUUGGAACCUGCCCUAAAGUAGAGGAUAGCUUCGGGAAACCGGAGGUAAUACUCUAUGUGAUCUACGGAUUAAAGAUUUAUCGCUUUAGGAGGGUCCAGCGGCCGAUUAGCUUGUUGGUAUGGUAAUGGCCUACCAAGGCGACGAUCGGUAGCUGGUCUGAGAGGAUGAUCAGCCAGAUUGGGACUGAGACACGGCCCAGACUCCUACGGGAGGCAGCAGUAGGGAAUCUUCCACAAUGGGCGAAAGCCUGAUGGAGCAACGCCGCGUGCAGGAUGAAGGCUUUCGGGUCGUAAACUGCUUUUAUUUGGGAAGAUUAUGACGGUACCAAAUGAAUAAGGAUUGGCUAACUCCGU
rnacentral:rRNA from 1 species